rnacentral:rRNA from 1 species
GACGAACGCUGGCGGCGUGCUUAACACAUGCAAGUCGAACGGAAAGGCCCUGCUUUUGUGGGGUGCUCGAGUGGCGAACGGGUGAGUAACACGUGAGUAACCUGCCCUUGACUUUGGGAUAACUUCAGGAAACUGGGGCUAAUACCGGAUAGGAGCUCCUGCUGCAUGGUGGGGGUUGGAAAGUUUCGGCGGUUGGGGAUGGACUCGCGGCUUAUCAGCUUGUUGGUGGGGUAGUGGCUUACCAAGGCUUUGACGGGUAGCCGGCCUGAGAGGGUGAACGGCGACAUGGGGACUGAGAUACGGACCAGACGCCUACGGGAGGCAGCAGUGGGGAAUAUUGCACAAUGGGCGGAAGCCUGAUGCAGCAACGCCGCGUGCGGGAUGACGGCCUUCGGGUUGUAAACCGCUUUCGCCUGUGACGAAGCGUGAGUGACGGUAAUGGGUAAAGAAGCACCGGCUAACUACGUG